rnacentral:sRNA from 1 species
AAAGAAACCAACAGGGAUUGCCUUAGUAACGGCGAGUGAAGCGGCAACAGCUCAAAUUUGAAAGCUGGCCCUUUUAGGGUCCGCGUUGUAAUUUGUAGAGGAUGAUUCGGCGAGGGCUCCUGCCUAAGUCCCCUGGAACGGGGCGUCAUAGAGGGUGAGAAUCCCGUAUGCGGUAGGUUGCCUUAGCCAUGUGAAUCUCCUUCGACGAGUCGAGUUGUUUGGGAAUGCAGCUCUAAAUGGGAGGUAAAUUUCUUCUAAAGCUAAAUACUGGCCAGAGACCGAUAGCGCACAAGUAGAGUGAUCGAAAGAUGAAAAGCACUUUGGAAAGAGAGUUAAAAAGUACGUGAAAUUGUUGAAAGGGAAGCGCUUGCAACCAGACUUGUCCGCAGUUGCUCAGCCGGUCUCCUGACCGGCGUACUCUUCUGCGGCCAGGCCAGCAUCAGUUCGGGCGGUCGGAUAAAGGCCUCGGGAAUGUAGCUCCUCUCGGGGAGUGUUAUAGCCCGGGGUGGAAUGCGACCAGCCUGGACUGAGGAUCUCGCUUCGGCAAGGAUGCUGGCGUAAUGGUUGUAAGCGGCCCGUCUUGA